AUUGAACGCUGGCGGCAGGCCUAACACAUGCAAGUCGAGCGGAUGAAGGGAGCUUGCUCCUGGAUUCAGCGGCGGACGGGUGAGUAAUGCCUAGGAAUCUGCCUGGUAGUGGGGGAUAACGUCCGGAAACGGGCGCUAAUACCGCAUACGUCCUGAGGGAGAAAGUGGGGGAUCUUCGGACCUCACGCUAUCAGAUGAGCCUAGGUCGUAUUAGCUAGUUGGUGGGGUAAAGGCCUACCAAGGCGACGAUCCGUAACUGGUCUGAGAGGAUGAUCAGUCACACUGGCACUUAAACACGGUCCAGGGUGCUACGGGAGGGCGCAGUAGGGAAUAUUGGACAAUGGGCGAAUGCCUAAUCCAGCCAUACCACGUCUGUGAAGAAGGUCUUCGGAUUGUAAAGCACUUUAGGUUGGGAGGAAGGGCAGUAAGUUAAUACCUUGCUGUUUUGACGUUACCGACAGAAUAAGCACCGGCUAACUUCGUG
rnacentral:rRNA from 1 species